UGGAGAAAAUGGUUGGAAGUU
ensembl:piRNA 21ur-7652 ncRNA